rnacentral:rRNA from 1 species
CCUACGGGAGGCAGCAGUGAGGAAUAUUGGUCAAUGGGCGGGAGCCUGAACCAGCCAAGUCGCGUGAGGGAAGACGGUCCUAUGGAUUGUAAACCUCUUUAGGCGGGGAGCAAUGCCGGGCACGUGUGCCCGGAGGGAGAGUACCCGCAGAAUAAGCACCGGCUAACUCCGUGCCAGCAGCCGCGGUAAUACGGAGGAUGCGAGCGUUAUCCGGAUUGAUUGGGUUUAAAGGGUGCGUAGGCGGCUUUUUAAGUCCGCGGUAAAAUGUCCGGGCUCAACCCGGGCCGGCCGUUGAAACUGGGGAUCUUGAGUGGGCGAGAAGUAUGCGGAAUGCGUGGUGUAGCGGUGAAAUGCAUAGAUAUCGCGCAGAACUCCGAUUGCGAAGGCAGCAUACCGGCGCCAGACUGACGCUGAGGCACGAAAGCGUGGGGAUCGAACAGGAUUAGAUACCCCUGUAGUC